rnacentral:rRNA from 1 species
GAUGAACGCUGGCGGCGUGCCUAAUACAUGCAAGUCGAGCGAACAGACGAGGAGCUUGCUCCUUUGACGUUAGCGGCGGACGGGUGAGUAACACGUAGGUAACCUACCUAUAAGACUGGGAUAACUUCGGGAAACCGGAGCUAAUACCGGAUAAUAUUUCGAACCGCAUGGUUCGAUAGUGAAAGAUGGCUUUGCUAUCACUUAUAGAUGGACCUGCGCCGUAUUAGCUAGUUGGUAAGGUAACGGCUUACCAAGGCAACGAUACGUAGCCGACCUGAGAGGGUGAUCGGCCACACUGGAACUGAGACACGGUCCAGACUCCUACGGGAGGCAGCAGUAGGGAAUCUUCCGCAAUGGGCGAAAGCCUGACGGAGCAACGCCGCGUGAGUGAUGAAGGUCUUCGGAUCGUAAAACUCUGUUAUUAGGGAAGAACAAACGUGUAAGUAUCUGUGCACGUCUUGACGGUACCUAAUCAGAAAGCCACGGCUAACUACGUG